CGUAACAAGGUUUCCGUAGGUGAACCUGCGGAAGGAUCAUUACCGAGUGCGGGCCCCUCGGGGCCCAACCUCCCACCCGUGUUGCCCGAACCUAUGUUGCCUCGGCGGGCCCCGCGCCCGCCGACGGCCCCCCUGAACGCUGUCUGAAGUUGCAGUCUGAGACCUAUAACGAAAUUAGUUAAAACUUUCAACAACGGAUCUCUUGGUUCCGGCAUCGAUGAAGAACGCAGCGAAAUGCGAUAACUAAUGUGAAUUGCAGAAUUCAGUGAAUCAUCGAGUCUUUGAACGCACAUUGCGCCCUCUGGUAUUCCGGAGGGCAUGCCUGUCCGAGCGUCAUUGCUGCCCUCAAGCCCGGCUUGUGUGUUGGGCCCCGUCCCCCCCGCCGGGGGGACGGGCCCGAAAGGCAGCGGCGGCACCGCGUCCGGUCCUCGAGCGUAUGGGGCUUCGUCACCCGCUCUAGUAGGCCCGGCCGGCGCCAGCCGACCCCCAACCUUUAAUUAUCUCAGGUUGACCUCGGAUCAGGUA
rnacentral:rRNA from 2 species